rnacentral:rRNA from 1 species
CCUACGGGAGGCAGCAGUAGGGAAUUUUCGGCAAUGGGGGGAACCCUGACCGAGCAACGCCGCGUGAACGAAGAAGUUAUUCGUAAUGUAAAGUUCUUUUAACAGGGAAGAAAGAGAAAUUUGACGGUACCUGAAGAAUAAGCUCCGGCUAACUACGUGCCAGCAGCCGCGGUAAUACGUAGGGAGCGAGAGUUAUCCGGAAUUAUUGGGCGAAAAGGGUGCGUAGAUGGCAUAGUAAGUCUUUUGUAAAAAUGCUGGGCUCAACCCAGUAGGGCAAAAGAUACUGCAAAGCUAGAGUAUGACAGAGGCAAGUGGAACUACAUGUGUAGCGGGAAAAUGCGUAAAUAUAUGUAAGAACACCAGUGGCGAAGGCGGCUUGCUGGGUCGAUACUGACAUUGAGGCACGAAAGCGUGGGGAGCAAACAGGAUUAGAUACCCGAGUAGUC